rnacentral:rRNA from 1 species
UACGAGGGGGGCGAGCGUUGUUCGGAAUUAUUGGGCGUAAAGGGUGCGUAGGCGGUUUGGUAAGUCUUGUGUGAAAUCUCCAGGCUCAACUUGGAGUCUGCACGAGGAAACUGCCGGGCUUGAGUGGUGGGAGAGGUGAGUGGAAUUCCUGGUGUAGCGGUGAAAUGCGUAGAUAUCAGGAGGAACACCUGUGGCGAAAGCGGCUCACUGGACUGGUAUUGACGCUGAGGUGCGAAAGCGUGGGGAGCAAACAGG